rnacentral:rRNA from 1 species
AUUGAACGCUGGCGGCAGGCCUAACACAUGCAAGUCGAACGAGUGGCGGACGGGAGAGUAAUGUCUGGGAAACUGCCUGAGGGAGGGGGAUAAAUACUGGAAACGGUAGCUAAUACCGCAUACUAUCAGAUGUGCACAGAUGGGAUUAGCUAGUGGGUGGGGUAACGGCUCACCAAGGCGACGAUCCCUAGCUGGUCUGAGAGGAUGACCCGCCACACUGGAACUGAGACACGGUCCAGACUCCUACGGGAGGCAGCAGUGGGGAAUAUUGCACAAUGGGCGCAAGCCUGAUGCAGCCAUGCCGCGUGUAUGAAGAAGGCCUUCGGGUUGUAAAGUACUUUCAGCGGGGAGGCGUUACCCGCAGAAGAAGCACCGGCUAACUCCGUGCCAGCCGCGGCGGUAAUUC